GCCCGGCCCCCGGGGGCCUCGUCUCGUGGGCUGGGUGCGCAGGUCAGCCUGGAGCACCCGCAGAGACUUGGGGUAUCGACGCAAAGCCUCCCUCUCCCCAAAGCCCUGGCGGCUUUCCUGCUCAGCAUCGUGGACGCGGCGCCAGCCAGCAGGUGCGGGAUGGGGGCGGGGCCAGAUCACACUGAGCAGCACACCUCCUAUUCUGACAACCGACCCAUCCCAUCCUCCUGGUGAGGAGGAGGAGGCAGCAUCUCCGUCUCCUGAACUCUUUCUUCACUGCAUCCUCGACAACUGCAGAAUGCCUUCUCUCUUAACCUUUCCUCUGGACUUUCUCUUCCCCACCUUUCCCUCAAUCAUGGUUUCUCAGCACUGCUGAUGUUUGGAGCUGGACAAUUCUUUGUUUAUCGUGGGCUGCCGUGUGCAUUGUAGGAUGCUGCGCUGCAUCCCUGGCCUCCACCCAUUAGACGCAGUGGCAUGUCCCCGGCUGUCCCCCGGGGGUGCCAUCAUCCAGCCAAGACCUUCUGCCUUAGGUGGACUCUGUACUUCUGAGCUCCGUCCCAUCCCGCAGUCCACCUGCUUCCCUGAAUGUUUCAGCUCUGAACUUCCUGUCACACUUGCUAACACCCUCCAGGUGGAUGAUCCAGCCUCUCCAGUCCCUGACUCUCUCUCCUCCAGAGCCCGCCACUCCCCAGGCUUUCCCAGUUAACUUUCAGCCCCAACCUGACCGUCAACCAUCUGCCUGCCAUCACCUUUCUCUGGCUCACUUCCUGUGUCUCCGCUGGGGUCUUUUCAGCCCCUCGGCUCAUCCUCCCUCGGGUGAGACUCUGUGGUUACGGUCAGCCUUUCCCACAUCCUCAACACUCUGGUCCCUCCUGCUGUGUUGUACUCACUGGGUUAAAACUCAGAUUAAACCCAGCUGCCCACCUUCUGCAGCUCAGAGUGGUGUGGGAAAGCAAACAGGCGUGCUGCCACUGUGCCUGGAAACACCAGGCUGACCCCCCUAGGGCUGCCUGGACCGCCCCCUCCCCCGUAUCCUCUCACUUUUCACCCUCCCUAAACUUACUGUCUCCACCAUCCUCACUCAGCUAAUGACCUCACCUCCGACUUAACGGGAAGACAGAAACGUUCACUAAGUAUAGACAAGCUCCCACCUCCCUCCAUCCCUGCUCGUUUCGUCUACUUUUCCCCCUAAUUCUGUGCCGAACUGUCCAGCGCCAACUGAGGCCAACCCCUGUUGGGCUCCCCUUCUUGUUUAUUUGAGGAUAUUGCUCUAGAAAUUCUUACCCUCCUCCCUGGCAAAUCUUCUGUCUCACUGAGGCACAUUCUGUCAGCUGAACAAACCUCUAACCCCACUUCUCUGGUGUCUCUUCCCAUGAAGCUGUAGCCCAGUGGUCCGUCCUCAGCCCUGGCCUGACUCGGCAGCACGUGCUGCCGCUCACCGCUUCUCCUCGCUGCCCUUCCCGGGCACUCGUCUGGCUUCCUUCCCACCUUUCUGGCCGCCUACCUUCAUCUCUUCUGCAGGUACCUCGUGUCUCGCAGCCUGACCGCCGUCAGACGGCCCAGGCCACCUUUUUGGUCUCUCUCCAUCCCCACCUCUGCCUGCCCAGGGCGCCGUCUCGGUUCUCUCUUCAUCUCCAUCUCUGCUCAUUCCCUAGGUGAUCUCAGUCGGCCUGGUGGCUUCAGAACCCCAUCUGCGGCUAGUGACGUCCAAGUUUCUGUCGCCAGCCCAGACCUCUUGGAAUCCUGGGAUCCCAGACCUGUUUGACACUCCCACUCAGUGCCUAACAGGCCACACCCAGCCUGAGCCCUGACUGAGCCCCUGCACCCCAAGACCAGCCCCUCUCACAGCCCACCCCAGCUCCAAGCUGCCACUAACCUGAGCCACAAGCCUGGUGGUCAUUAUUUUUCUCUCUUCCUUACACCUUGUAUCCAAUCUGCUGGGAAAUCUGGCCAACUUUCCCUUAAAAAAUGCUGUACCCCCAGAAUCCACUUCUUGCCACCCUGGUCCCACCUGCCCUCUCCUCCCGAUUAGACAGCUUUCUCAGCCGCCUCCUGGACCUCUCUGCUCCCAUGCUGACCCCCUUAUAGUCUGUGCUCAAUGGAAAUGAAGUUGGAGCGUGUCCCUCCUUCAUUUGGGUCCUUCCAUUGACUCCCGUCCCACUCAGACCAAAGCAACAUCUUCACAAUGGUUCAGCUAGGCCCUACGUGAACUCUGCCCCCUGUCCCCUAACUUACCACUCCACCUCCACCUUGUCCUACACCGCCCCAGGGCCUUUGCACUAGCUGCUCUCCCUGCCCGGACUGUUCUUCCCCCAGCUCCCUGCACAGCUGGCUCCCUCCUUCCCUUCCUUCAGGUGUGUACUCAUCCAUGUUACUAGAAUUUCCCUACCUGUCUGUAAUUUCCAACUUUACUCCCUCCAGCUCUCCUCUCUCUUCCUCCCGUCAUCAUAUAACUUGCUAUUUAUUUUAUUUAUCUCGUUUACAGUCUGUCCUCAGUCUAGGCCUGCAAGCCCAUGAGCACAGAGGUUUUGUCUGCUUAUUCACCCCCAGGGUCUAGGAUAGUGCUGGGUACAGAGUCAACCUUCAGUCAUGGAGUCAGAGAUGACGUUUCUCCAACCUCAUUCUCAUCCCACCGUUGCCACUUUGCCUUAGUCUCUUACCACUUACACUUAUGUUGACUUGAUGUUUCCUUUGAAGUUAACUGUGUGAAUCAUACAUGUAUCUACUUACAAGUGAUACUUACCACCCCCUGUAUUGUUACACCAGUGUCAUUUGCAUCGACAGGUCACAAUGAAAUUAAACCAGUGAAAACAAAGCAACAGUGAGUUCUAGCUAUUGUGGCCACAGAUUGAUGAAUGUGACCUGAAGGCCUACUUCUCAGUUAAAAAGGACAUGACGGAAGACAUUAGCACCAAAUAGACAUUCUUCGACAUAAUCAGAUGUCUUUAAGAGUUGAAAAGGGAAUGCCUUUCUCACUGUGCAAUUCAGUUACUCAUGGUGUGCCCAGGAACCCUCUGAAAUCACCUGGAGUCUUGACUCCAGACUGAGAACCACUGCACGGGACAAGGGGAAAGCCCAAAGCCCUUUUGAAAGGGGGAAGAGAGCAGCUGAUUCAGGGGACAGGGAUUAGGGAAGGAGCCCCCUGACUAUGCAAGGUAUGCAGAGUGAGAGGACACCAUUUCCGUUCUUAAAAGCAGCUCUGAAGGAUAGAAAUUUGCUUUUUAAUUGAAAGAGAGAGAGAGAGAAAAGAAAAG